CACGGGGGGAGCAAGCGUUGUUCGGAAUCACUGGGCGUAAAGGGUGUCUAGGCGGUCAGGUAAGUGAGAUGUGAAAUGCCCCGGCUUACCCGGGGACCUGCAUCUCAUACUGCCUGGCUUGAGUAUGGGAGAGGAUGAGGGAAUUCCUGGUGUAGCGGUGAAAUGCGUAGAUAUCGUCAAGAACACCGAUAGCGAAGGCAGCUUACUAGACUGUAACUGACGCUGAGGCACGAAAGUGUGGGGAUCAAACAGG
rnacentral:rRNA from 1 species